GACGAACGCUGGCGGCGUGCUUAACACAUGCAAGUCGUACGGUAAGGCCCUUUCGGGGGUCCACGAGUGGCGAACGGGUGAGUAACACGUGAGUAACCUGCCCACAACUUUGGAUAACGCUAGGAAACUGGGGCUAAUACUGGAUAUGUUCUCCUGCCGCAUGGUGGGGGUUGGAAAGCUCCGGCGGUUGUGGAUGGACUCGCGGCCUAUCAGCUUGUUGGUGGGGUAGUGGCCUACCAAGGCGGCGACGGGUAGCCGGCCUGAGAGGGUGACCGGCCACAUUGGGACUGAGAUACGGCCCAGACUCCUACGGGAGGCAGCAGUGGGGAAUAUUGCACAAUGGGCGCAAGCCUGAUGCAGCAACGCCGCGUGCGGGAUGACGGCCUUCGGGUUGUAAACCGCUUUCAGCAGGGACGAAGCUUUUUGCGACGGUACCUGCAGAAGAAGCACCGGCUAACUACGUG
rnacentral:rRNA from 1 species